rnacentral:rRNA from 1 species
ACAAGUAGUCAGAGCCCGUUAAUGGGUGAUGGCGUGCCUUUUGUAGAAUGAACCGGCGAGUUACGAUUUGAUGCAAGGUUAAGCAGUAAAUGUGGAGCCGUAGCGAAAGCGAGUCUGAAUAGGGCGUUUAGUAUUUGGUCGUAGACCCGAAACCAGGUGAUCUACCCUUGGUCAGGUUGAAGUUCAGGUAACACUGAAUGGAGGACCGAACCGACUUACGUUGAAAAGUGAGCGGAUGAACUGAGGGUAGCGGAGAAAUUCCAAUCGAACCUGGAGAUAGCUGGUUCUCUCCGAAAUAGCUUUAGGGCUAGCCUCAAGUGAUGAUUAUUGGAGGUAGAGCACUGUUUGGACGAGGGGCCCCUCUCGGGUUACCGAAUUCAGACAAACUCCGAAUGCCAAUUAAUUUAACUUGGGAGUCAGAACAUGGGUGAUAAGGUCCGUGUUCGAAAGGGAAACAGCCCAGACCACCAGCUAAGGUCCCAAAAUAUAUGUUAAGUGGAAAAGGAUGUGGCGUUGCCCAGACAACUAGGAUGUUGGCUUAGAAGCAGCCAUCAUUUAAAGAGUGCGUAAUAGCUCACUAGUCGAGUGACACUGCGCCGAAAAUGUACCGGGGCU